AAAAAAAAAAAAAAAAAAAAAAACAGGGUUGGGGGGGAAGAAACCCUCAUUUUUCAUAUCAAAUCCUCCCUGCUGAUUUCGUGAAGGCUGCAAAACAGCAGGUAACAAUGUGUAAGUGACUUUGAAUUAAGACUGAAUUCUCUGUGUCCUUCGCGUCUCCCUCAAAUGUGGACUGAUUUUCUAAGAAUUUAAUUAUCUAAGAACACAGCAUCAAAGCUGUUAGACCCUUGUUAGUGUUAAUUCAAACUUAAUGUGCAUGCGAUUUAGAGAUCUUGGAUACUAGGCAAAUGAUUUCAAUUUAAAUAGCCCUCUUUGUCCUACACAUCACAAAACAUCUUUUAACAUAUUUUCUUUCUUUUUUAAUAGAAUACUGUAACUCAGGUCUCUCCCACUAAAAAAGAUUCUCACUGGGGAGAAAUCAGAUGUUCUACAAAUCAGCAGGAUAUGGCAGGAAGAACAAAUAUGGGCUUUGGUGCCUUGGAAACUAAGUUCAAAUCUUAGAAGUUCACCUUUUUCCAUGUGUCUGCAGGCAGAAGCUUAACUUCUUUGAACUUCAGUAAAUUAACCUCUCAGCAAGGACUGGGAGCUGGCAAGAGGGCUAGUGGCGAGAGUUACCCAAGUGGGGUGAAUGCAGGGGCGUGUCUGGAAGCUGGUGGUCCUGGUAGCAUCUGGGGUCUAGAAAUAGCUGCUCCAUCCCAAGGCAAGGAGGAAACGGGUAGUGAAUACUGGCCUGAAGGACUUUUGUCCAUUGAGGUUCAUGACCCACAAUUAAAUCUUAGCUAAUAUAAAACAAGAAAUAUGCCUUCUUAGGAAAGCAAAACUCUUUUAAAAAGUAUUAUGGUAUUUUAAUUGAAAUAUAUAUCAUGUAUGUUACCUCUUUAGGAUGAUUGGAUCACAGGAACCAGCCAAUCCUACUGGAGCAUGUUUAUUUCAAAAACGUGAACUAAGCCCUGUGGCACAAUAAUUCCUUCAAAAAGCAUAAAGGAAUCAUUUGUUAUUGUAAUCUGAAAGCAUGGCUUUAGCUAAAUUGAAGUUCAUUGUUUUAAAGUUUGAAAAUAGAACUCUGUAAUUGGACCAACAAAUAUUUAUGAAUGCAUAAUUAAUUUUAAAUCAGUGUCCCUAGGAUUUCCUGCUGUGGCACAGCAGGUCAAGAAUCCAGCAUUGUCUCUGUGGUGGUGCAGGUUCAGGUCUGCAGCUUGGAUUCAUUCCCUGGCCUGGGAAUUUCCAUAUGCUGUAAGUAUGCCCAUAAAAAAAAUAAUCAAUAUGCCCAGAUUACACGGGUCUCAUUCAUGUUUUGGAAAUACUUUGAGGUAUCUGCUGUGAUGUAACCAUGUUCCUGCCUUCCAAUUAUAUACAUAUACAUAUAGCAUACGAUCAAUAUUACCUUCCAAUAAAGGUUGUAGGGAAGAAUAUUUCAUCGAUUUUUACAUACAAGUAACUUCAGUCCCAGAGAGAAUAGGGGUCUUUUUCAGAGUCACAAAUUGAAAUAGUAAGAGCCCAAAUAAGAACUCAGAACUUCUGAUUCCAAAGUUAAUAUUAUUUUCAGGAAAAAAAUAUAUAGAUAGAUAGAUAUAAUAAAAGACCCAUCACAACCCAGCGUAUUUGGUAGACAAUUCCUCCCCUCAUAACAUCAAGUUUCUCUCUGCCAAGAUUCCCCUAAUUCAAGACCUGGUGUACCCUCCUCCUUGGCUCUCCCUUAUCAAGGGCUUAACUUGGAAAAUAAUAUUCAAUGUCAGUCAUUUACACUUUAGUAUGAAUUUAAGUCAGUGUGGUUUCUUUCUCUUAGUCUUCUACAUUUCAGUCAUUAUCUUCAAGUUUUAAUGAGAGCAAGACAAUUUCUCCUAUUAAAAUAUUUUUCAUAACAUGAAAUGCUCCAAGAGUUUUCGUAUAAGGAUUUUGAUUAAGAGCCCUUAGUUUAAAAAAAAUUGCAAUAUAUUCAUGACCCUAAUAUGUAAAAUGUCUUUUAGCAUAGAAGUGUGAGUUCCCUAAAGGAAGAGAUUAUAGCUGUCUUGUUGGCUAUUGUAUCCCCAGUAGUUUGAUAUAGAGCCUGUCAUAUGUUUAACACUCUGAAUAAUUGUAGAAUUAAAAAAAAAUCAACCUAACGGAUACAGUAAGUCGUGUCAAAUAUGUCGCACUUUCAUAAGCUGAGGAAAAAAAGACACUCAAUGACAUUAUUUGAAAAGGGUUUUACAGCCAUUGGUAAUUCUGGAAAAGAGUCUCUUAAGGCACCUAAAUAAUCCACCUGACGUCUGAUUCCAUUUACAAAAUCAGGUUCAAAAGAGGCUAAAAUGUUCGAAGGGGGAGAGGGGGCUCCAGUGCAUAUGGUGGCAAAAGGGAUCUUCACAAGAAGGCACACCUAGAGUCUCUUUGCUUUUAUUCACUACUUUAAUGUACUAUUUGUGUGUUUUUAUGCUGCCCUAGAGUAAGUAGAAUCCUGACCUAGGUUUCACGGUCUAUCAUAUUUCUUCCACUUACUCUUUUCUCCUUUGUAAUGUGGGGUGGGGACUUGCUAUAAUGUGGUGAGCGAGCUAGGACGUUGUCCCUUCCCUCCUGAACUCAGUAAUAGCUUCUGGCUGCCCCCAGAUCAGAGGGCAGAUGUGUAUCCAAGACAAAUUGAACUCUGAUGUUUCUCUCAGGAGGAAAAUCAAAAUCCUAGUUAGAAGUUGAGCAAAAAAAAAGUGUGAAUAAAAAUUCCUUUUCAAAAAUGAGCCUUAAGAUCAGAGUGGGAACAUAAAGUUCUAUCAACAUUUGGAGCAUAAGGCAGAUGAGGCUUAGUGAUUUAGAACUGGGGUCAAUAACAGCAUAAGUCCAAUUAUUUUUUAAUGGCCUGCACCCCAGGCUAGGGAUCGAAUCAGAGCUACAGCUGCCAGCCUACACCACAACCACAGCAACACCAGAUCCAAACCACAUCUGUGCCUCAGCUUGUGGCAGCGCCAGAUCCUAAACCUAAUGAGUGAGGCCAGGGAUUGAACCCACAUCCUCAUGGAGACUGCAUUGGCUUUUAACCCACUGAGCCACAACGGGAACUCCCAUGUGAGGCCAGUUCUUAAUGAGUGUUUUCAGAAGUGUGUGUGUGUGUGUGUGUGUGUGUGUUCAGGGGUGGGCUUGAUCGCAUAAAGGAAUAGGACAUAUCAAAUUAUGACUCACAUUGGUUUCAAUUUCUUGUUACUGAGACCUCUAAAUAAAUGGAAAUACUCUGCUCCUUGAAGGCAAGGAUAGUAUCUUGAACAGUUUGUUUUUUUGUGUGUCUAGUAAAUAUUUAUUGAAUUAGUUAAUCUAUCAAAGGAGAACAAUUCAGUAAUUAUUUAUUCAAUAUAAUGAUACAACACUCAAAUGUUAUUAGUUACAGAUUGGGUUUUUUGGAAUCUAACUUACCAAGUUGCUGGAGGGUUUUUUUCCUAUAACUAGUUUACUGCCUAGUACAGAAGAGCAGUUGUAUAUUUCUUAACUGGUUUGAGGUUUUUUGUGUUUUGUAUUGUAUUUUUUCAAAAAGGAAAAAAAGUAAAAUCAACAUCUGAAUUUGUCAUAUUUGAAAAGUGGGUGCAAGAAAGUAUGACAGUAACUAAACACAGUAAUUCACAUACACACCCCCAUGCACCUGUGCACAACAGCUGGGACAUAUAGAGUGCUAUUUGUUUUUUUUUUUUUUUUUUUUUUGGUAUUUUUGUCUUUUUAGGGCCGAACCAGCAGUAUAUGGAGGUUCCCAGGCUAAGGGUCCAAUUAGAACUACAGCCACUGUCCUAGACCACAGGCACAGCAAUGCGGGAUCCGACCACAUCUACAAUCUACACCGCACACAACUCACGGCAGUGCUGGAUUCUUAACCCGCUGAGAGAGGCCAGGGAUCAAACCCACAUCCUCAUGGAUGGUAGUCGGGUUCAUUACCACUGAGCCACAACGGGAACUCCUUCCUAGAGCGCUAUUCUCACGUACUACUGGCCAAUUCAGGAUUUGUCAAGAUUUCCACUUAUCUGAGGAUACUUGAUGGGCACUGGCAUAACUCAGGGAGGCUGUCUGCAAACCUUCAGACCAAUAACUUAACAGAAAUAAUAGUAAAUAUGGCAGUGGAGAUUCUUUAGAGUUAUAUUUUUUAUAAAUGAUUCUAGGAACACUUUUGCCACUUAUUUUCUUUCUUUGUGUUUUGCUUCCUAAUUUAUGGGCUGCCUCAUUCCAAAAGGGUGUUGAAGAAGCAGCUCAAGUUAUAGGAUUUUCAGUUGAUUCAUUCAGAGAGAAUGUAGCUUCUGAAAAUGUAGCCCAGCUCUUAUCACUUCUCCACUAAGCCCUUCAAUGACGCCUCCAUCCACAGCCUAAAAGAGUUCUGCCUGGUGGGUUUCAACGUGUCCAGGAAUCUUGAUAAGAGAUGCAGCUGCAGAGUGGGCAGGUGCCAGCCAUGGAGGUCCCGUGUGCCAGAAUAAAGAAACUGGAUUUUAUCCUGCUGCCACUAGGGAGCUGUUAAAUGAUUUUAAAUAAGGGCAUGGUAUAAUCAGAUUUGGGUUUCCCAUUAUGGAACCAUCAUAGAGUAUUUUUCUAUGGAAAUCUGCUUCUUUAUUAACCUUUCUGAAAACAGAGCCCACAGAAGGAGUACAUUUUCCCCUAAAAACUAUGAAGUAUAUUGAGGCAGUAACAAAGUGUGUGCAAGUGUGAGUACAAAUAAAGGUACAACAGUUAUAUCUCAUCUGGGCAGUAGCCACGUGGUUGCCCAGAGAGAGAUAAAUCUUCACAAGGAUUUCUCUCCUUGGAACUUCUAUGAGAAUUUUAACAGGGUGACCUGUGUCACUGGAAAGGAAUUAGUUGGAGAGACCCUUUGAGUAGUAAAGAAUCUGGUGGAUGAGUGGGCUAAGGGAUGGAUGACCUUUGUCCUAAUAGAUUCACAAAGUCCCCUUUUCUGAAACCUUGCUGAUCACUCUCCCACCCUAAAUGCCUCUCUUAGGGGGCGUGGGGAGACAUUUCAAGCACUUAGUUAGCUGUGUUAUAGCACUACUUUAUAAAACUACCUGUGUACUUAUCUUUCUCACCCAUUAUUAUUACUUUGGAACAGAACCAUGGUUUCAUUUCUUUAGCAACAGAUUUUUUUUUAAAUAUUUUUUUUUAAAUUUUCCCACUGCACAGCAAGGGGGUCAGGUUAUCCUUACAUGUAUACAUUACAAUUACAUUUUUUUCCCCACCCUUUGUUCUGUUGCAACAUGAGUAUCUAGACAUAGUUCUCAAUGCUAUUCAGCAGGAUCUCCUUGUAAAUCUAUUCUAAGUUGUGUCUGAUAAGCCCAGGGAUUUUUUUUUUUAAUAAAUGAACAAACAAAUGAUAAAAAUAUGGAUUUUAUAAAUGGAACCAAGUGUGAUUUUUCAGGAGAAUAGACUUCAAGAGAGACUUUGAAGGCUCCAACCCCAAGGAUACACAGGGAUAUAAUAGAUGAACUUACAUAGAAGUGCGUAAUUAAGAACUGCUCUGGGAGUUCCCUCGAGGCCCCUUGGAUUAAGGAUCCAAUAUUGUUACUACUGCAAUUUGGGUCACUGCUGUGGUGCAGGUUCCUAGCCCUGGGAAUUCCACAUACCAAGGGUGGGGCCAAAAAUAAAAAAAUAAAAAUAAAAUGUAAAAUGGCACUGAAUGAAGUUGAAAGACAGACAGAUAGACAGAC
rnacentral:lncRNA from 1 species